GCCGCCAUUUUGUCCAGUGAGGAAAAGCGGAGCGGGAGUCUCGCUGAGGGUCGAGUCGGCUGCGAGCUUAGCGCGGCUCCCUUCGGGCGCCCUCCCUCCUGGCAUCGCGAUGCAUCGUGACUCUUGUCCGCUGGACUGCAAGGUUUACGUGGGUAACCUUGGAAACAAUGGCAACAAAACUGAACUAGAGCGAGCUUUUGGCUACUAUGGACCACUGCGCAGUGUAUGGGUGGCAAGAAAUCCUCCUGGCUUUGCUUUUGUGGAGUUUGAGGAUCCACGAGAUGCAGCUGAUGCAGUAAGAGAACUAGAUGGAAGAACCCUCUGUGGGUGUCGUGUCAGAGUGGAGCUUUCCAACGGUGAGAAGCGGAGUCGGAACCGUGGUCCACCCCCAUCCUGGGGCCGGCGUCCUCGAGACGACUACCGCAGAAGGAGUCCUCCUCCCCGCCGCAGAGUCACCAUCAUGUCUCUUCUCACCACCCUCUGAGUCUGCAUUAGCCAGUCAACUAGCCCUUUCAGCGUCAUGUGACCAGCGCGCCCCAUGCAGCUUGGCUGGUGUCGUUUCACAUGACCCAGGCAUGGCCAGUCGUCAGGUUGCACCGCCCUUUGGUUCCCGAGCAUGCUGUUUUCUCUCAGCCUUCUCUCCAACCUUAACCAAAUCGGCAGCAGCCACCUCGACCGCCCACCCAAUUCCCGGCCAAUCAGCUCAGCUGUUUAUUUACCAAAUGUCUUCACAACAACUACAGCAGCAGCCUUCGGCUAACAAAAAAGCAGGAAAAAUCCACAACACCCCCUCCGCCAACCAACUAAAUACAACGCAACAUCUGGCAAAACCUUUUCAGCAAAUUCUUCUUGGCAGUCAGUCCGGCAGCCUCACCUCACCAUUUCUAGCUUGUUGAAACCAAAAACUAAUCACCACGAAGGAGAAGCUUCUCUCGCAGCCGCAGCAGGUCCCUCUCCAGAGACAGAAGAAGAGAGAGAUCACUCUCACGGGAGAGGAACCACAAGCCCUCUCGUUCCUUUUCCAGGUCUCGCAGUCGUUCCAGGUCAAACGAGAGGAAAUAGGACUGUGAGAAGGAGCUGUGUACAGGAAGCCCUUAGAUCUGAGGCCAGGAGGAGUAUGUACAGAACAUUGUUUUGUUUUGAAACUUCAUAAAGCUUGGUGCAUUUUUAAAAUGUUUUAGCUGUUGAACUCGCUUUGUUCCUUGUAUCUUGUAACAGGUGGCAAAUGUAAAGAUGUGAAUCUGUAUAUGGUUCUGAGCAGAUCCUAUGAUUUGUAAUAAGCCCUUUACAAUGUACCAUUACACAUGGCGUGUGCUUGUGCCGAGUCUAGGCAGUGUGUGUUGCGUGGAUAGAAGAGUACUUCAGGUCUUGAUGUGCUGGGUGGGGUUUGUGCUAGGAUUAGGCUCUUGGGAGCAGGGGGCAAGGAAGGGGUGUUCACUGUGGGAGUGUGCCUGGGAGUGGUGUCUGCUGAAAAAGAUGUAGAUGCUUCAUAGAAGAGUUGUCAAAUGGUCAGGAACGGGGAGUGUGUGAAGGGAAUGACAGAGCUGCAGCUGUAUCCAGAGCUCUGGUUCUGACUUCCAUUACCUGGAACGGAGCUGCUUUAUAUUCUGUGGAACAUAAACUUGUAGCCGUAGGGUCAGUUGACUUUGUACUUUAUGUCACUAGAGUACUCAACUAGGUGAUUGUUGAUUGCCCAUCUAUUCCAGAACCUCUGAACAGACCAAAUACACAGCAGAACUGACAGCUGGAGUGGAUGUCUUGGGUGUGUAAUGGUACAUUGGGAAAGCUAUGAUUUAAACAUUUCUUUACUGUACAAGAAUUUUCAUGUCACUUGUAAAAUGUCUUUUGUGAGAUCCUUGGGAUUAAAGUUUUGGUUACAA